rnacentral:rRNA from 1 species
UACGUAGGGGGCAAGCGUUGUCCGGAUUUAUUGGACGUAAAGAGCAUGUAGGCGGCCAAGCAGGUCCGCUGUGAAAACUCGAGGCUCAACCUCGAGACGUCGGUGGAAACCGUAUGGCUAGAGUCCGGAAGAGGAGAGUGGAAUUCCUGGUGUAGCGGUGAAAUGCGCAGAUAUCAGGAAGAACACCCGUGGCGAAGGCGGCUCUCUGGGACGGUACUGACGCUGAGACGCGAAAGCGUGGGGAGCGAACAGG